GAGUUUGAUCCUGGCUCAGAACGAACGCUGGCGGCAGGCUUAACACAUGCAAGUCGAACGCCCCGCAAGGGGAGUGGCAGACGGGUGAGGAACACGUGGGAACGUACCCUUCGGUUCGGAACAACCCUGGGAAACUAGGGCUAAUACCGGAUACGAGCGAGAGCUGAAAGGUUUACCGCCGAAGGAUCGGCCCGCGUCUGAUUAGCUAGUUGGUGAGGUAACGGCUCACCAAGGCGACGAUCAGUAGCUGGUCUGAGAGGAUGAUCAGCCACAUUGGGACUGAGACACGGCCCAAACUCCUACGGGAGGCAGCAGUGGGGAAUAUUGGACAAUGGGCGCAAGCCUGAUCCAGCCAUGCCGCGUGAGUGAUGACGGCCUUAGGGUUGUAAAGCUCUUUUACCUGGGAAGAUAAUGACGGUACCGGGAGAAUAAGCCCCGGCUAACUUCGUGCCAGCAGCCGCGGUAAUACGAAGGGGGCUAGCGUUGUUCGGAUUUACUGGGCGUAAAGCGCACGUAGGCGGAAAUUUAAGUCAGGGGUGAAAUCCCGAGGCUCAACCUCGGAACUGCCUUUGAUACUGGGUUUCUUGAGUCCGGAAGAGGUGAGUGGAACUGCGAGUGUAGAGGUGAAAUUCGUAGAUAUUCGCAAGAACACCAGUGGCGAAGGCGGCUCACUGGUCCGGAACUGACGCUGAGGUGCGAAAGCGUGGGGAGCAAACAGGAUUAGAUACCCUGGUAGUCCACGCCGUAAACGAUGGAUGCUAGCCGUUGGAUCGCUUGCGAUUCAGUGGCGCAGUUAACGCUUUAAGCAUCCCGCCUGGGGAGUACGGUCGCAAGAUUAAAACUCAAAGGAAUUGACGG
rnacentral:rRNA from 1 species